AACGAACGCUGGCGGCAUGCCUAACACAUGCAAGUCGAACGAGACCUUCGGGUCUAGUGGCGCACGGGUGCGUAACGCGUGGGAACCUGCCCUUAGGUUCGGAAUAACUCCCCGAAAGGGGUGCUAAUACCGGAUAAUGUCUUCGGACCAAAGAUUUAUCGCCUUUGGAUGGGCCCGCGUUGGAUUAGCUAGUUAGUAGGGUAAAAGCCUACCAAGGCGACGAUCCAUAGCUGGUCUGAGAGGAUGAUCAGCCACACUGGGACUGAGACACGGCCCAGACUCCUACGGGAAGCAGCAGUGGGGAAUAUUGGACAAUGGGCGAAAGCCUGAUCCAGCAAUGCCGCGUGAGUGAUGAAGGCCUUAGGGUUGUAAAGCUCUUUUACCCGGGAUGAUAAUGACAGUACCGGGAGAAUAAGCUCCGGCUAACUCCGUG
rnacentral:rRNA from 1 species